CUUCCCUUCCGCUGACACCCGGCGAACAGCCGCCGCCGCGGUGCCCCGGGCGCGGAGCGACAAACGGCCGCCGCUGCCCCGGUCCUCGCCCCGGUUUUUCUUUUCCCUUCCUCAAACUCGUGUCGCCGGAGUCCGGGGAAGCGCCGCCGCUCGAGCGAACGUGCUCUGCUCCCGCUGAGCCUUGCGGCGUGCCGCCCUGCCGAAAGGAAGCGCCUAAUCCCCCUCCGCGCCGAAACUGGGGGAUAUCGGACACCUCUGGGCUUCUGCCUGGUCGCAGCCUCGUUCAAGAAUGCUAAUUAUCCAACCCUUCCCUCCUUGCACGUGCUUCUCCGUAGGGAAAGCUAUAAAUUCCAGCGCCGGAGAGGCUGGGUUGCUUCAGCGUGCAUUCCUUCAGGAUUCAUUAUCCCUAGUGCCACCGUGGGUUUUCUUCGCUUGAAACCCUACAAAGGCUUAAGGAGGGACGAAGGCCGCCUGGAGCGUGUUGAUCUUCUGAUGGAACAUGGGGAACUGGUCCAGCCCUGGUUUGCUAGGGGCGAGGUUUGCUUUCGAGGGUUUUGAAGGGGAUGGUGAAGAACAGGGAGUGAACGCGAAAGUAAACCAUCUCUUCCGCAACGGGAGUAGUGGAGCACCUCUCCUUGGUAGAGGCUGAUGCAGAAGGAUGGGCAACAGGUAAGAGAGGCUGCAGAAGCGAAACGGUAGUACGGGGCGAGACUGUUGAUGAGGCUUCAGCUAAGCUAAACCCAUUCGGUACUGAUGAUUGUGUUUAGAGGAGAGUUUUGCAAAGCUUUAACUUACUGUCGAAGGUGUGGAGACCGCUGUUUGAUGGUUAUUUGCUUGUCCGAGGGCUCAUUCGUUCUUUAAAUUGCAUGGGGUUUAGCUUGGGAGGGGCAUGGUUCGGGUCUCUGGUGUACGUAUUUGCUGCAUAAUGGACUUAAUGGUUUAAUUCCGUAGGCUAAUAGAAGCUGGAUAAGCGGGUCGGUUCCUGCUUUUACCUGAAGGGAACGACUUACUAGUUACCUCAAGGCUUUACUUGAGGCACGGUGCAAUGUCUGGUUUUUGUUAACGCUUCUUGUUCAUUUAAAUAGCCUCUUUAUUCUUUCAGAAAUGUAUUAAUGGAGCAGGCUGCAGGUCUGGCUUAUGCCUUUGCCAUUUCUGCUGCAUCCAUAGAGCUUAAUUUUGCAUACAUGUUUUAGCAUCUUUGUUGACUGCUGCAAGUGUUGACUGUCAGUUGCGUUAGUCAUAAGCUGUAAGUCAUUUAUCCUCCUUUUCUUUUUAAUCUUUGGUUUGUUAGAUGCAUGGACGUAGAUGUUUUUGUUUUGUUAAUCUUCACACC
rnacentral:lncRNA from 1 species